rnacentral:rRNA from 1 species
UAGGCAAUCUACCCCCGGGACCGGGAUAACAGUGCGAAAGUGCUGCUAAUACCGGAUACGAUUUUUUGGCGGGAGCUAAAAGGUGAAAGUCGGCCUCUUGAAAAAGCCGAUGUUCGGGGAUGAGCCUGCGUCCUAUCAGCUAGUUGGUAGGGUAACGGCCUACCAAGGCGACGACGGGUAGCUGGUCUGAGAGGAUGAUCAGCCACACUGGCACUGAAACACGGGCCAGACUCCUACGGGAGGCAGCAGUGAGGAAUUUUGCGCAAUGGGAGCAAUCCUGACGCAGCAACGCCGCGUGGGUGAUGAAGGCCUUCGGGUCGUAAAGCCCUGUCAGGUGGGAAGAAUGGCUACAGGGCGAAUAGUUUUGUAGCGUGACGGUACCACCAGAGGAAGCACCGGCUAACUCCGUGCCAGCAGCCGCGGUAA